ensembl:lncRNA
CGCCGCGGGGAGUGGGGGUGCGCGAAGGAGCUGCCAGCAUACCCCGAGGGGCAGCGCUGCUGUGCGGAUCGUGGGGAAGGGGAAGAAGCUGGAGGUCCUGCUGUUGUGGCUGGGAGAUCGAGGGGUUUGGGGCCGCCGUGUAUGGACGUGGGUAUGGCUUAGUUGCAUAUUAUAGCUAGGCGGAGAGUGGGAGUCAUUCUGAUGGACUGGAGGCAGCUGUGUGUGGGGUAGGCUGAGGGGCAUGUUUAUAGCUGUGUUUAUACUUGGGAGAUGGAGAUGGUGGGUGAAACCACACGUGUUUAGGAACAGUGGUAUGUGAAGGCUUAUAAAUCUAGUAGCGAUAGGUGGACAGUCCUGUGUAGGGUGUGAGAGGUAAAAGGAUAAGUUGUGUGUCCUCUGAACGCUAUGGGGGAGGGCAACUUCGGGUGGUUAGCUGCUGCACGGGUUCCAGGCACAGGGACAACAGGUUCCUACAGGGUUCUGAACUUGUUUCCUUUGGUGGCCAGCAUGGUUAGCCACAAUGUAUCAGACCUUUGUGUGUAUUACAAGCUGGUAUGUGGACAGGGAGAGACGCAUGGUCCUAACUGCAUGCAAGUUGGUUUGCCUAGUGCAUGUAGUGAGGGCCUGGGGACGUCUGGCUGUCAGCAGUUGGGUGAGCCCUGCUGCUGGUGUGGUGAGGCAGGCUGGGGCAGCGAGCAGCAUGAUCUUUGUCCUGGGAACAUGUCAGGAGCUGUGAGUUGCUGUCAUACCUGCGGUGACAUGGAAGGCCUGGAUACUGCGUGUUGAACUCUGAAAUCCAAAGUGGAAAUCCUGUGGCAGUUGCUGUGUGUUGAGGACACUGUGGUGCUGUUUGGAGAAAAGCCUAUGCGUGUGCUAGUAGAGACUGUGGAAACAUAUGUACCUGUAUUUGUGACGGGAGUCAGGCAGUACAUGUUUCUGUCUGCAAGAGCAUCAGUGCACUCUUCUUGUGGGUAAAUUAUUUGGGAUUACUGUAGAUUAUGAGGAUGUGAGGGGAUUUGGCUUUAUACUUGGAAGUAGAAAUGAACAUCAGAGUCUUUAAAAGGUUUUGUUGAGGAAAGAGGGGAAUUGGAUGAGUUGGUGGGGAUUGUGCAUCUACAGGGUGAAGGUUAUGUUAGGCAUUGUGUACAUGUGUGUAUCAGGGGAAUGGUAUUGGUACAAAAGGGAAACUGGAAUUUUCCUGUUGCUGAGUUAGUGGGAACUAUAGUCUGUGUGGAGAGAGGAGGUAGGCUUUCAUUACUGUGAAUGUGAAAAGCUGAAACGGCGGGGGGGAUGCUGAGCAAACUGGGUUGGAGUUUCAGCUGUGUCCUGGGUAGGUAGCAGGUGGUGGGUGGUCCUGCCUCCCCUCCGUGUGCAGAGGAGCACAGUAUAGUUGUGACAGCCAGUGGAAGCUAAAAAAAAUGAAGAUGGGGUGAUAUUACAGGAUUAGGGGAGUCUACCAAAUGGUCACGAGGUUUCUCUUCAAGGUUCUUUUUUUUUUUUUCCUCCUGCUUUAUUUUGUUCUGUUUGUCUCAGUAGGUAAAUUGUCCAUUAGCUUAGUGUAAACUUCUGCUGAAACAAAUGCUUGUAACAGUCUUGGCAGAUGAGCCGCUAACUAAAAGCACUGUGGUACAGACAAGUUCCAUGUAUGUGGACUGAGGCUGGGCUGUCUGUGCUUGUGCGUUACAUAAACCUUUAUACUUAGGUUGACUGUGUGUCAGAGGUACUGGCUGUAAUGCUGUUUGAAGAAGGCUUAGUACCUAAACAUUUGAGGGCCUGAGAUCUGUGGAAUGAUGAUUUACAGUGGGAAGUUGUUUGGCUUAGGUGGAAGUGGAGAGAAAUUGCAUCUGUGUGUCCCAUGUUCUGUAGGUUUGUGGUAGUAUGAAUUACUUGUUUACACAGCGCCUCAUCUCGUGUUCUGUACAGAUGUUUGGAGGAGGUUGUGUUAUGGGAUACGUGGUUUAAUUAUGGUGCAUAGCAUCAAUAUAUGGGGAUGCUGAAUUAACAUGGUAUGGAAAGGGCUGUAUGUAGUGUGAGGCUGACAGCUGGAGGCCUUAUAUGUUUGAAGGGUGCAGUUGGAAGUCUUGGAGGAAUUUUGGGUGUUAGUAGGUCGGGGACAUUUGUAGUGGCUGCACAGGGCAAAAGAGAAAGCAAGGAGGAAGUAAGUAGUGAAAAUGUUGAUAAAAGCCCCCCUCCUCAUCUCAGCUGCUGCAGCCAUUCCUACAAAUUGAGGGAGGUUUUCUGAUCCAGGUAUUGUUCUGCUAUGAAAAACAAAUUGCCCCCUACUGCUCCCCUAAGCACCAUUACUUUCUCAGUAAUAUUCAUUCGGUUCAUGGUUUUAUGAUGUUACUACAUUACUGUCUGAGGGUCUAGAUUCUCAGCUUUUUUGAUGGAAAAUAAUCUCUUCAUUGGGUUUUCUUUCAUAUGAAUGAUGUACCCAGGUGCUUAAAUCUAUUCCUGGGAGACUUAACCAGAAUUCAGCUGAGGAAAAUAGCCAAUUCACUUAAGGAUGUUUCAGAGCAGGCUAUUGGAGAGCUUGAGAUGGCUCUUUGGUGUGUUUGGUAAUGACAAGUUAAUGACCACAAGCUUCCUAUUAGGUAACAGAGGAGAGCAGCAGUCUGUCUCGGCGGUUUUCAGGGCAUUAGUGUAUGUUAAGACAAAAUACCACCUUCAGUAUUUCGGUAACCCCAGUGCAGGAAGUUGACCUUUACUGAAUGUAGGGCAAACAUGGUUCCGUGUUGUUGGAAUGUGAACUAACUGAUUUCAUCAAGGAGGUUAAGAAAUGAGAUGAUGAUUUCUUUAGUAGAAGAGGUAACAUUUCAUUGUUAUUUCUAUGGUCAUCGUGUGUGGUUCAUGCUGUGGCCUAUUCUCACCAGUUCUCCUGUCUUAUCAAAGCCAGGUAUUUCUUGUUUAAAACUCAUGACCUUGCAUUUAAAAUCUUGUGUGGCAAAAGAAAAGUUGGUGACUAGAGAGAAACAUCUUAAAUGAUAGAACUAUCUGUAGGAAAUUAAUACUUGAUCUGAGCAGAAAAUAUAAUACAAUAUAGUAAUUAUAGUAAUAUAAAGCAUUACAGAGUGUGUGCUUUGUUCCCUACCCUGAGCUUGAGUGGAACCGCUGCUGCGGGUUAUUGAAUUGUGUUUUCAGUGUUUCUUAAAAGGUUGUAUGUUACAGUAGAUGUAGGUGAUAAUGAAAUGUGUAGAUUUUGAGGUUUUUAGGGUUAAUAGGAAAACUUUCCUAGGUGUAUCCCACCAGCUUUUGAUAAUUGUAACUGCGAAGGAGUGGAGGCAAGAGGGGAUGAGUGCUGAAACACUUGUGCUGUGGUUACUGCAGAAGAGAGGGUCGUUCUCAGUACAGCUGCCUUAGGUCUUAUGAGGUGGUGUGUUGGUGGCUCAGGACAAGUUACUGCUGCUUGAAGGUCUCUUAGAUGAAUGGGCAGUAUCUGCCUUAUUGCUUGUAUUUAUAUCAUCAAGCGGUAUGCUGUAAUUGCAGAUGGUCUGUAGAGUGGAACAGUAAGUUACGUGGACCCGGUAUAUGUAGUAUACCAUAUAGUUUGUGUGGUUGUAUUUUAGACUAGUUGUACUCUGGUUUUAAGUACACCCUAAAUACUGCUGGGUAUUAGGUGCUCUCCAGGGGUUUUAGUUGAGGUAAAUCUCAGAGAUGUCCAGAUCAUGUGUUUAGAGACUACUCAGAGGGUGCAAACUUAAGCACAGUAAAUGGGAUGGCUCAGAUUUCCUUGAAAGUGCACUACUGGUCCAAAUGAAAAUGCUAAUGCAGAUGUUCUGAUUGAGUCUUAAAGCAUCUUAGAGUGCUGCAGAGGGUGCUGAGCAGUGCAUGUGUCUACAUCCUCCAUUCUUCUGCCUCUUGAGUGCUGUUGUCAGGCCUGGGUGCCCUCUGAGUAAGGCAUUUUAUCUAUCUUGAAAGGUAUCUGAAUCUUUGUUCCCAAAUUAUUGGCCCUAGUUCUGAGAUUAUUGUUAAAAUUACUAGUAUUAAAACAGCAGUGCUGGAAAGCAGUUCUUUCAUGGCUUUACCUCAGUUAAUCAAGAAUGAAAUGAGUAUCUGUGAAGCUUGGCUUCCUGUGGCUUGGUGUCUUGUGGUUGGAUUUUUUCUGAGUGUAAUAUUGCAAGUCAGCUCUGAAAGUAUUUUUAUGUGUUUGGGGCACGUGUAAUGUAUGUGUCCUGCAUGGCAAGAUGCUGUCGGUAACAAAGCUGAGCUCCUGCAGUACUUGUUCUCAAGAGGGCACUAGUUUGGAUGGAAUGUCUCUACUUGACCCAGCUAUUUAUUACCACAAAACUCACAGAACAUGAUUAUUUGUUGAAGUAUUUACUCUUGUGUUAACUUAUGAAUUGUGGUGAGUUUGAGCAAACUGCUGAGGGAGGGGAACUGGAGCUUGGCUUUCUAUGGCUGUAUUCAACCUUAUCAUUCAUGGUAACUCUUGCUUUACCUAAAGCCUUUUUAUAUAAAUUUAGAAGUGGUUUUUAUUUCUUCCAUAACAGUUAAAAGUUAUUUUAUUCUCUCCCUCCCAUGUUUCAGGUUACAUACUCAGAGGUAGGAAACGGUGCUCCUAACAGUGGCCAAUCUCUUCUCUACAGGGCAGAUACAAUUAUUGAGGGCACCCAACAUACGUAUUAAACUGGCCCCAAAUGGAUGGAUGUAAAUUUCCCCAGCUGUAUAUUGUAGUCUUUUGUAAUGAUUUCUGUGAAACUAGAGACUAGUAGUAUACCCUGAUAUGUAAAGUAGUUUUGAACCAUGAAUGAGGUUUUUUUUUUUAAAUGAGCAGUGUACUGAUGCCUGGAGUACUGCUAGAUUUGAUUUUGAGGGUGGUAGAUGAGUACAUAGAAGGGAUUUUGGUUUGUGAUUGCUCUUGUGACCUUGAAAAGCUGCUGAAACUCUAAUGUGCUUUGAAACUUGUCAGAUGAGGAGUAUACUGUACUUGGGUGUUAUAGAGUGUGGACUGAAUUCUGAGUUUUGUCUUCUGUGUGUAAAAACUGAAGAAAGUGUUCCUUUUGGAUCUGUUUUAAGUGCAUGAAAACUCAAAGCAUUUUUGUUUGCUCUGAUUUCCAACAGGAAUCUCUCCUAGUUGAAACAUGCUCUGUAUACUAGUUUAUGCACAAGUCCUCAUGUCAGAUAGGGUACUGCUGUAAGCCCUGGUGCUUACUCUCUGGCAUCUAGUUUGAUUGAUUCUCUGUGG